rnacentral:Y_RNA from 1 species
GGCUAGUCCGAUGGUAGUGGGUUAUCAGAACUUAUUUACAUUACUGUCUCUAAAGUUGGUAUAUAACCCCCCCCCCACUGCUAAAUUUGACUGGCUUUUA